rnacentral:rRNA from 1 species
UCAGGACGAACGCUGGCGGCGUGCCUAACACAUGCAAGUCGAGCGAGGAGAUCCUCGGGAUGAUCCUAGCGGCGGACGGGUGAGUAACACGUGGGCAACCUGCCUCAUAGAGAGGAAUAGCCUUCCGAAAGGGAGAUUAAUACCUCAUAACAUUGCAGUUUCGCAUGGAACAGCAAUUAAAGGAGUAAUCCGCUAUGAGAUGGGCCCGCGGCGCAUUAGCUAGUUGGUGAGGUAACGGCUCACCAAGGCGACGAUGCGUAGCCGACCUGAGAGGGUGAUCGGCCACAUUGGGACUGAGACACGGCCCAGACUCCUACGGGAGGCAGCAGUGGGGAAUAUUGCACAAUGGGGGAAACCCUGAUGCAGCCAACGCCGCGUGAGUGAUGACGGCCUUCGGGUUGUAAAGCUCUGUCUUCAGGGACGAUAAUGACGGUACCUGAGGAGGAAGCCACGGCUAACUACGUGCCAGCAGCAGC